GUUGACCUCGGAUCAGGUAGGGAUACCCGCUGAACUUAAGCAUAUCAAUAAGCGGAGGAAAAGAAACCAACCGGGAUUGCCUCAGUAACGGCGAGUGAAGCGGCAAGAGCUC
rnacentral:rRNA from 1 species